AAAAUAAAGUCUGGAUUUAUGACUCAUUACUCACAUGCCGCGACGACAAAAGAUACAGGUUGAAAUUCAAGCCACUUGAAGUUAUCUUCCCUCGAUGGUUGGAAUAUGUUGGGUUCUACAACAUCCGACCUGAGUUGCGGAGUGCCGACCCCUGGAAAGUUAUCGCAAUUAGGAGCGCGCCACAACAGGAGCCCGGAACUGGCGAUUGCGGUGUUUUUGUAUUGAUGGUUACGAUGUAUUUAAUGCUCGGGCUUGGAUUGGAGUUUAACCCUAGUCAUGUCGAGUACUUUAGAAAGAAGAUUGUGGUUGACAUAUUGACGAGCAAUUUUUCGAAACAUGGGAGCGAUUCAAUGGGCUACUCUUGAAGUGUCCACAUCAUGGGUACGAGAAAUGGCACCAAUGUCAAUACUUUUUGGAGGGAUUACUGCCGAAUGUGCAAGAAUGACUAAUGGCAACAAGUGGAGGAGAGCUAAUGUCAAAAAGUGCAUCAGAGAUUUGAGAAUUCUUCCAGCGACAAGCGGAUAAUUCCCAACAACGGAGUCGAUCACUCAGGAAUACUAGAAGAAUUAAAGGAGUGAAUGAGGUUCAAAUUGGCGAAUCAACUUCGGGAAUUAAAGAAGUCAAAGAGAUGGUUGAAGGUCUUGCUCGACAAAUAGCAUCGUUAUCGACUGCUAAAUCAACAGAACCACAUGACCAUGACUUAUACUCAGAUCAAGUCAAUGCCAUAGGUGUAAUGAGAAAGCCAUUAAAUUACAACCCAUACUUCAACACAUAUAACCCUGGAUGGAGAGACCACCCCAAUUUUUCAUGGUCUUACCAUUAGUCUAUACUACAAUAGAUUCGUGCGCUUGCGAGUAUAUUAAAAUUUGCACAACAAUGGUAUGUAUUUUAUUGCAUUUUAUAUACAAGUUGUCGAUUUUUCUUAGUUGUUUUUCAAUUUCAUAUAUAACGAACAUGUUUUUGAAUUUUUAUAUGCAGUUACUCAUCCCUGUUAACUUGGACGGCGAGCAUUGGGUACUGGCACGAAUGGACUUUCAGAAAAAUAAAGUCUGGAUUUAUGACUCAUUACUCACAUGCCGCGACGACAAAAGAUACAGGUUGAAAUUCAAGCCACUUGAAGUUAUCUUCCCUCGAUGGUUGGAAUAUAUUGGAUUCUACAACAUCCGACCUGAGUUGCGGAGUGCCGACCCCUGGAAAGUUAUCGCAAUUAGGAGCGCGCCACAACAGGAGCCCGGAACUGGCGAUUGCGGUGUUUUUGUAUUGAUGGUUACGAUGUAUUUAAUGCUCGGGCUUGGAUUGGAGUUUAAC
rnacentral:lncRNA from 1 species